UACGUAGGGGGCAAGCGUUGUCCGGAUUUAUUGGGCGUAAAGAGCGUGUAGGCGGUCCGGUAAGUCCGCUGUGAAAGUCGGGGGCUCAACCCUCGAAUGCCGGUGGAUACUGUCGGGCUAGAGUGCGGAAGAGGCGAGUGGAAUUCCUGGUGUAGCGGUGAAAUGCGCAGAUAUCGGGAGGAACACCAAUGGCGAAGGCAGCUCGCUGGGACGGUACUGACGCUGAGACGCGAAAGCGUGGGGAGCAAACAGG
rnacentral:rRNA from 1 species